rnacentral:lncRNA from 1 species
CCUGCUUUGUGUGUCUUUUUCUGAGCUCUUGUACCUUAUCAAACAUUCCUUUUAUUGUGCCUCCAGAAUCAACUACUUGAAGUUAAGUGCUUCUCCCUUACUGGCUGCUUAACUUGGGCAGGUUCAUUCAAUGCCACAAAUAUUUGUUAGUGUCAACUGUCAGAAACACCGUGUUGGGCACUGGAGAUACUGACCCCAGGUGAGGUAGACACACUGUCUCUGGCCUCACAGAGCUUGGAAUCUCAUCAGUCUUUUGAAAUGGAGACCCACCUGUUUAGUCCGGUUAAAGUUAACUUUGAGCAGGAGAUAAUGAAGGUGAUGCAGAUGGAACUGAGUCACCAGGCUUUGGGUGCCAUGAGAGACCACAAGGUCUGACGGAGAGUCAUUUUCUCCAGGAGAGGGAGUGGCUCUUUGCCCUGAUGACUUCCGUUCUGUCCUUGGAUUGUAGGAAAGUAUAUGGGCUGGAAAGAUGAAGUCACGAAUAAGGUACAGCAACUUUUGGACAAGUAAGAUCCUGUGUGGUUGACUGAUCUGCUUUUGUCACCUGGGACCCUGGUCUCUUCUGGCUCCUUCCUUAUCAGGACCCACAAGUUUAAGAACAGUAAAACUCUCCCUGACUCUAGAAUACCUACAGUUCAAAAUCCGCCUGAGAAAAAAAUGAUUCAGGGUGCUGGUGGUUAAGGACAAGAAUGUUAAUGGAGAGGAAUCCAGGCAUUCUUUGAGAAUAAUCAGGGAAAGCAAAUUAUUUAGUAAGAUUUCUUUGAUUUAAAGAAAAGUUUUUUAUGUGUUUAUUUAUUUUGAGAGAGAGAGAGAGCAUGAGCAGGGGAGUGGCAGAGAGAGAGGGAGAGAGAGAAUCCCAGCAGGCUCCGUGUUGCCAGUACAAAGCCUAAAGUGGGUCUCAAGCUCAUGAACCAUGCUAUCAUGACCAAGAUUCCAACGUGUAACUGACUGAACCACCCAGGUGCCCCAAGGUUUCUUUGAUUUUCUCCUCCUCCUCAUUCUGCCCCUCUGUUAUACUACUUAUGUGUUUUUCCAAA